AUACGGGAGGCAGCAGUGAGGAAUAUUGGACAAUGGACGCAAGUCUGAUCCAGCGACGCCGCGUGAGCGAUGAAGGUCUUCGGAUUGUAAAGCUCGGUAAGAUGGGAAGAAAAAGCACGGGGUAAUAUUCCGUGUCUUGACGGUACCAUCCUAAAGCCUCGGCUAAAUACGUGCCAGCAGCCGCGGUAAUACGUAUGAGGCAAGCGUUGUUCGGAAUUAUUGGGCGUAAAGGGCAUCUAGGCGGGAUGUUAAGUCAGGUGUGAAAUUCCACGGCUCAACUGUGGACCUGCAUUUGAUACUGGCAUUCUUGAGUUCGGUAGAGGAAGGCGGAAUUCCCGGUGUAGCGGUGAAAUGCGUAGAUAUCGGGAAGAACACCGGUGGCGAAGGCGGCCUUCUGGACCUGACUGACGCUGACAUGCGAAAGUGUGGGGACCAAACGGGAUUAGAUACCCCGGUAGUC
rnacentral:rRNA from 1 species